UACAGAGGUCCCAAGCGUUGUUCGGAUUCAUUGGGCGUAAAGGGUGCGUAGGCGGCGCGGUAAGUCGGGUGUGAAAUCUCGGGGCUUAACUCCGAAACUGCAUUCGAUACUGCCGUGCUUGAGGACUGGAGAGGAGACUGGAAUUUACGGUGUAGCGGUGAAAUGCGUAGAUAUCGUAAGGAAGACCAGUGGCGAAGGCGGGUCUCUGGACAGUAACUGACGCUGAGGCACGAAGGCCAGGGGAGCAAACGGG
rnacentral:rRNA from 1 species